CCCAGAGUCACACAUUUAAUUAUUGCCUGGGCUUGGCUAAGAAACCAGGUCUUCUGACUCCUAAACCCUUGCCUUCUUCAGGCCACAUAGCUGCUUCUUUUCAUGAAGUGUAGAUUAGAAAAGUCAGUGUGCCCUGGGGCCCUUGAUUGCUCCGUGGUUUCCCUAACAAGGAUAUGGGAUCCCUGCUGACAUUUCAGAUCUUAAGUUGCAGAGCUCUGCACUUGGAUCCUCUUCCUUCUUGUUAUAUAAUCUUACAGUUAAAAGUUUCUAGGAAUAUUUUUAUUACGUGCAAUUGGCAACUUCAGUAUUUUUAAAAGGGUGUUGGUAGCAUUAUUUCCGGGAGCUACUUAGCGUUCCAGUUCGGUACCUCGUGGAGAAGACGGGGGAGGGGAGCAGCGAGAUUUCCUUGCGGAGCAAUAGGCCUAGGGUCGUGACCUCGUGGCCCGGGCCCGCGACUCCGCCCCGGGAGCGGGCAGGGGCGGGGCGAGCGCUCCAGCUGGCGGGAAGGAGGAAGGGCCGCGCGCGGCGCAGAGGCGGGCGCCUACCAGCCGGCAGCUUCGGAGCUGCCCACGCCAUGUCCGCGCACAAUCGGGGCACCGAGCUCGACCUUAGCUGGAUCUCCAAAAUACAAGUGAAUCACCCGGCAGUUCUGAGGCGUGCGGAACAAAUCCAGGCUCGCAGAACCGUGAAAAAGGAGUGGCAGGCUGCUUGGCUCCUGAAAGCUGUUACCUUUAUAGAUCUUACUACACUUUCAGGUGAUGAUACAUCUUCCAACAUUCAAAGGCUCUGUUGUAAAGCCAAAUACCCAAUCCGGGAAGAUCUCUUAAAAGCUUUAAAUAUGCAUGAUAAAGGCAUUACUACAGCCGCCGUUUGUGUUUAUCCCGCCCGGGUGUGUGAUGCUGUAAAAGCACUCAAGGCUGCAGGCUGUAAUAUCCCUGUGGCAUCAGUGGCCACUGGAUUUCCAGCUGGACAGACUCAUUUGAAGACACGAUUAGAAGAGAUCAGACUGGCUGUGGAAGAUGGAGCUACAGAAAUCGACGUGGUAAUUAACAGAAGCUUGGUGCUGACAGGCCAGUGGGGAGCCCUGUAUGAUGAGAUUCGUCAGUUUCGCAAGGCCUGUGGGGAGGCUCAUCUUAAAACUAUAUUAGCGACAGGAGAACUUGGAUCUCUUACUAAUGUCUAUAAAGCCAGUAUGAUAGCAAUGAUGGCAGGAUCAGAUUUUAUUAAGACCUCUACUGGAAAAGAAACAGUAAAUGCCACCUUCCCGGUAGCUAUAGUAAUGCUGCGGGCCAUUAGAGAUUUCUUCUGGAAAACUGGAAACAAGGGGCUUCCUCUCCACUGACUUCCACAACAUGGCCCGUGUCACUGAGCUGGCAAUCAAGAGGAAAGUAUGCAGGAGAAGAGAAAGUAGAUAGGAGAUGGAGAAGAUUUGGAGGAGAAAAGAGAAAGGAACCCUCCCAUUCAUCCUUCCAUACCACUACUCAGAACCAAGCACCUCUGCUUCUAAACUACAUCAGGGAGUGCAACUCCCAUGGAAUCACAGGACAAGAAGUAAUGGGAACAGAUAUUUAAGGUAAUAGAUAUACAAAUUACCUUGAUUUGACUGUAUCGAUUUAUCAAAUGAUCACAUGUAUCCUGAAAACAAGUACACCUAAUAUGUAUCAAUAAAAAAUUUUUAAAAAUAAUAAACAAAUAAAAGAAGUAAUGGGAAUAAGACAUAGUCAUCCAAGAAGUAUUGGAUGCAGUGCAACCUGCCUGACCAAAAAUAAAACAUUAGAGGUGAGUAUGAGUUCUGGGGGGUGCCAUAUAGCCAUGUAUGCUUGACACUGUAGUCUGUAAUCACUCUAUCUAGUCAGAGUGUUAGAAAACCUAAAAAUGCUGUAAAGUUCUCAUAGUAGCCUAGCAGUCUUGGGUUUAAUGGGUCACUUUAACUGUAGACUUUAGCAAAAAUAUCCACAUACACUCUGUUAGUAAACACUACUCUCAGCAAAUCUCUUCUUUUGAGGAUGAGUAAACAGAAAAAAGGUCAAUAUGGGUAAGGAAAAGUGACUACAAUACAUGUUAUAAAUGUUACUUACAGGAAACACCCAGAACACAGAAUGACAAAGCUUAAAAUAAUAAUAUUAAUAAUAAUAAUACAAUAAUGAACGAGAAACUCAUAAGACAAAGAAAAAUACUGGAAAGUACUAACCUCAGCAAAGUUGAAUUCAAAGGAAAAACUAUUUUAAAGGGACAUUGAAAAUUUUUUUAUAUUGAUAAAAAACACAAUUCAAAUUGAAGAUAUGCCAGUGGAUUUCCCUUAAGUAAUGAAAUCAUAAAAAAAUCUGUUGUCUUUUGGAAAAAAUGAUAUAUAGGUAAUUCUUAUCAAUGACUAUAACACAUUCUUGUCAGUUUUUGAUCAAAUUGUCAAAGAAGGGAUGUAGAGAAUUAAAUUAAUGUGAUUGACAAGUGUUUAAUAAAGAUCACAACAUUGUUUAAUAUGAAGAAAGAAUAUUUCACCAUCUUACAGAAGUUUCAGUAACAUUAGUAAUAAACCAAACCUCCAAGAAAUUGAAGAUAUGCCUCUUGGAUAACUAACUGGUCAAUGAAGAAAUGAAACCCACAAUAUCAAAGUAUUUAGAAAAUGAAGAGAAUGAGGAAAUUGCAUUUACACAUUUUAGAGAUACAGAUAUAAACUCUACCCAGAAGCACAUUUAAAGGCACAUAGGUUUUCAUUUUUAAAGUCAGAAUUAAAAUAAAUCAAAUAAACAUUCAAGACAAAAAAAUUAGGAAAUGCAUAAAACAAAUCUAAGAAAAGUAGGAGUAUAGAAAUAGAGAUGAGAACAGGAAAUAAAUAUAUUAAACAUUUUUAGAUUUAAUAGUUCUAAGAGAUGAUUCAUUGGAGAAAAUAUGACAAAAUAAAUAAAACUGGCAAAUCCAAUCAGAAUAUGUAACAACAGAUACAGAGGAGAUAACAAUGUUUAGUUAUGCAUAUGCUAUUUUACAGUCAAAACUCUUACGGAAAUGAGAUGAGUAGUUAGGUAAACAUUAAUUGCCGAAGUUGAACCAAGAAGAAAUGGAAAUACUUAAUGACCAAUAAUAGCAGGAAAAAGUUACAAAGAAUUACUUUUUAAAAAGAGACAUUAAGAUCCCUACCAAAAUUCCAAUAACACUUUUCACAGAAAUAGAAAAAACAAUCCUAAAAUUUAUAUGGAACCACAAAACACCAC